rnacentral:lncRNA from 1 species
GAAAGGGCACCAACGAGUCAUAAAUUCUUUACACUUAAUUUUUCAUCAACUUACGGCAUCGUCACGGCAACACUGCCGGACCUUUUACAGCUAAGGAAUCCAAGCACUCCCCAUGAAGUCUUCCGGUGAUGACCAACUCGGUUAACCGCAAAACUUUCACCACCUUCAACUGUAGGAAACAAUGAUUUUGAAGUGUUUUGAACAAGCUGCCUGUUCCUGAUGUCCUUAAGAUCCAUCUCUGCAGGCACCUUCAAGGGCGCAAACACAAGAUCCGUCCACCUCGAAGAAGACGAUUUAUUACUCAAACUAUUGCGGUUGUUAUCCGCGGUUGGUUCAUAGUUCAACUUCAGGUUUCGGGUGCGCUUUUUGGAAUCAAAAGAGUAGCUGUUUCUAAAGAGUUGAGUACUCGCGGUUCCCUUGUCGUUGGUGCUCUUUAACUCGCGCAUAGACUCACACCGCGCGCGUUGAGGGUGUUUCGAGUUGGUGGGUACGAGCUUGCCACCAGAAAUCAUGUCUUCUGCAUCAGACAUCAUGUGUUGUUGUUCAUAAAACCGGUUGGAUUCGCCGCUACAGAAUUCAAAUAAAUCUUGGCUAGGUGAUGGUGGAGUGGGAAAUCUGUGAGGGAAAGUGUCUCGAGUGACUCUAGUUCUUGAUGAUCAUCAUUGUUGACAUCCAUGUUUACAAAGUGGGUGUGUGUUUUGGAGUUAAUGAUGGUGAAAUUUAAAGUAUAAAAGGAGUCAAAGUGUAUAGAUGUAUGAAGACAUAUAUAUAAUAUCUACAAAAAGAAAUCAUAUAUCAUUAAAAAUGUACAUGCACUCGUGAUUUAAGUAUACAUAGGAUAAUAUAAAUACAAUAUAGGGAUGAUGGGUUUGGCAACACAUAGCCAUCUUCAUUGUGGCAUAUUCCCAUGUCAUUUAGUGUAUGGUAUUCUUAUUCUUAUCAUGAUAAUUUCUAGGUAUAAAACACAUGUAUACAAGAAUACAAAUAUAUUAUAAUAACAAUAAUAAUAAUAAUAAACAUACCAAACACAAGAUAAAAUAAGCAAAAAAACAAAGAUAAAAUGUUUAAGCCUUAUGUAAACUUAUUGUAUGAGACAUAUUUUAAA